GGUUUUAAUAUAGUUGCAUGUGGGGGUUACUGCGGGGGUAGGCAGUAAUAUAGUUGCAUAUGGGAGUUACUGUGGGGGUAGGCAGUUUGAAGUUGCAUACUUAACCGAUCGAGAGCACUGCCGUGUCCCGGAUUACCACCAACUUCCCCAAAUAUAAUUGCAACACUGGAGUGACAUGAUGGCAUAAAGUACCAUUGUCUUAUUGACGGUAUAAGAUGCCUCCACCAAGCAUCCAAUUAAGUAUCGAUCGAUUGAUACCACCAUUAUCAUUGGACGCUACUGACUGCCGGAAAUGAUCCUUCUCUGCCAAGGCCACACUCUCACAGCUCCCAAGUUCUAAGUUCUGUCUGGUCAGUAAGUGGUUUGGUUCUACUCCCGUUUGAGUACUCACAUUGAUCUGUCAAGCUGAGUAAGGCUCCGGCCGCUCUGUGGUGAGUAAGGCUCUGGCCUAUGCUCUGUGGUGAGUAAGGCUCUGGCCUAUGCUCUGUGGUGAGUAAGGCUCUGGCCUAUGCAUAUGGUUCUCUGUGGUGAGUAAGGCUCUGGCCUAUGCAUGGUGCUCUGUGGUGAGUAAGGCUCCGGCCUAUGCUCUGUGGUAAGGCUCCGGCCUAUGCUCUGUGGUGAGUAAGGCUCUGGCCUAUGCAUAUGGUGCUCUGUGGUGAGUAAGGCUCUGGCCUAUGCACAUGGUGCUCUGUGGUGAGUAAGGCUCUGGCCUAUGCAUAUAGUGCUCUGUGGUGAGUAAGGCUCUGGCCUAUGCAUAUGGUGCUCUGUGGUGAGUAAGGCUCUGGCCUAUGCAUAUGGUGCUCUGUGAUGAGUAAGGCUCUGGCGUAUGCAUAUGGUGCUCUGUACUGUGAUGAGUAAGGCUCUGGCUGAGUAAGGCUCCGGCCUAGGUAUCUCUCAAAGUCACUGCACACUGUCUGGUCUUAAGUGAUCUAUACUGACUGUGUGGUAUUGACCGAUGCAACAACUGACCGCAACCCUCUGGUUGUGGUGAUAUGAAUGGUGUGGCCCUAUUAACAACUAAGAGGUGGCCCUAACAAAGGUGGCCCUAACUAACAACAGAGGUGGCCCAUUGAUUCUAUCGAUCCACGACAGAAACCUAUGUUCCCAGUGCCUCAAUGAGGAGCUGAGCAGGAUGUGGAGCGGGGCAAGUGGCAGCAGCUGGAUCCACCACCAUCUCCAUCAUCCCAUCUCUCAACCAAGACACUCUGAUCUUCUCCAUCUCUGCUGGAGUCCCUAUCCACUCGGGGGUGUUCAUCCCAGCUGAAGAAGGCUUCGGCCUCGCAGCUGAGUCUCCUGUCCAUGCACUCAUGGCAGGGGCGGCUCUGUUCACUCCCAAAGGCUUCGGCCCGGAUCGGAGCACUGUUCUCUCAUGUUCACCGGCCCUGAAGGGGUAUGUGAUCAUUGUGUACAUUCACUCCCAAAGGCUUCGGCCUGAAGGCUCUGAUGUUCACCGGCCUCUCUGAUCUCUGCUGGAGUCCCUAUCCACUCGGGGGUGUUCAUCCCAGCUGAAGAAGGCUUCGGCCUCGCAGCUGAGUCCCCUGUCCAUGCACUCAUGGCAGGGGCAGGCUCUGUUCACUCCCAAAGGCUUCGGCCCGGAAGCACUGUUCUCUCGUGUUCACCGGCCCUGAAGGGGUAUGUUAAUCUCAUUGUGUACAUUCACUCCCAAAGGCUUCGGCCUGAAGGUUCUGAUGUUCACCGGCCUCUCUGAUCUCUGCUGGAGUCCCUAUCCACUCGGGGGUGUUCAUCCCAGCUGAAGAAGGCUUCGGCCUCGCAGCUGAGUCCCCUGUCCAUGCACUCAUGGCAGGGGCGGCUCUGUUCACUCCCAAAGGCUUCGGCCCGGAAGCACUGUUCUCUCGUGUUCACCGGCCCUGAAGGGGUAUGUUAAUCUCAUUGUGUACAUUCACUCCCAAAGGCUUCGGCCUGAAGGCUCUGAUGUUCACCGGCCUCUCUGAUCUCUGCUGGAGUCCCUAUCCACUCGGGGGUGUUCAUCCCAGCUGAAGAAGGCUUCGGCCUCGCAGCUGAGUCCCCUGUCCAUGCACUCAUGGCAGGGGCGGCUCUGUUCACUCCCAAAGGCUUCGGCCCGGAAGCACUCUUCUCUCAUGUUCACCGGCCCUGAAGGGGUAUGUGUUAAUCUCAUUGUGUACAUUCACUCCCAAAGGCUUCGGCCUGAAGGCUCUGAUGUUCACCGGCCUCUCUGAUCUCUGCUGGAGUCCCUAUCCACUCGGGGGUGUUCAUCCCAGCUGAAGAAGGCUUCGGCCUCGCAGCUGAGUCCCCUGUCCAUGCACUCAUGGCAGGGGCGGCUCUGUUCACUCCCAAAAGCUUCGGCCUGGAAGCACUGUUCUCUCGUGUUCACCGGCCCUGAAGGGGUAUGUGUUAAUCUCAUUGUGUACAUUCACUCCCAAAGGCUUCGGCCUGAAGGUUCUGAUGUUCACCGGCCUCUCUGAUCUCUGCUGGAGUCCCUAUCCACUCGGGGGUGUUCAUCCCAGCUGAAGAAGGCUUCGGCCUCGCAGCUGAGUCUCCUGUCCAUGCACUCAUGGCAGGGGCGGCUCUGUUCACUCCCAAAAGCUUCGGCCCGGAGGCACUGUUCUCUCAUGUUCACCGGCCCUGAAGGGGUAUGUGUUAAUCUCAUUGUGUACAUUCACUCCCAAAGGCUUCGGCCUGAAGGCUCUGAUGUUCACCGGCCUCUUUGAUCUCUGCUGGAGUCCCUAUCCACUCGGGGGUGUUCAUCCCAGCUGAAGAAGGCUUCGGCCUCGCAGCUGAGUCCCCUGUCCAUGCACUCAUGGCAGGGGCGGCUCUGUUCACUCCCAAAGGCUUCGGCCCGGAUCGGAGGCAGCACUGUUCUCUCAUGUUCACCGGCCCUGAAGGGGUAUGUGAUCAUUGUGUACAUUCACUCCCAAAGGCUUCGGCCUGAAGGCUCUGAUGUUCACCGGCCUCUCUGAUCUCUGCUGGAGUCCCUAUCCACUCGGGGGUGUUCAUCCCAGCUGAAGAAGGUUUCGGCCUCGCAGCUGAGUCCCCUGUCCAUGCACUCAUGGCAGGGGCGGCUCUGUUCACUCCCAAAAGCUUCGGCCCGGAGGCACUGUUCUCUCAUGUUCACCGGCCCUGAAGGGGUAUGUGUUAAUCUCAUUGUGUACAUUCACUCCCAAAGGCUUCGGCCUGAAGGUUCUGAUGUUCACCGGCCUCUCUGAUCUCUGCUGGAGUCCCUAUCCACUCGGGGGUGUUCAUCCCAGCUGAAGAAGGCUUCGGCCUCGCAGCUGAGUCCCCUGUCCAUGCACUCAUGGCAGGGGCGGCUCUGUUCACUCCCAAAAGCUUCGGCCCGGAGGCACUGUUCUCUCAUGUUCACCGGCCCUGAAGGGGUAUGUGUUAAUCUCAUUGUGUACAUUCACUCCCAAAGGCUUCGGCCUGAAGGCUCUGAUGUUCACCGGCCUCCUCUAUCUCUGCUGGAGUCCCUAUCCACUCGGGGGUGUUCAUCCCAGCUGAAGAAGGCUUCGGCCUCGCAGCUGAGUCUCCUGUCCAUGCACUCAUGGCAGGGGCAGGCUCUGUUCACUCCCAAAGGCUUCGGCCUGGAGGCACUGUUGUUCUCUCUGACGUUCACCGGCCCUGAAGGCUUCGGCCGGGCAUGUGUUCAUGUUCAUCCCAGCUGAAGAAGGCUUCGGCCUCGCAGCUGAGUCCCCUGUCCAUGCACUCAUGGCAGGGGCAGGCUCUUCUGUUCACCCCGAUCUGAAGAAGGCGGCCAGACCAUCGGCCCCACAGCAGAAGGUGGACUUAGCCAUGGGUUUUACAGACGGGGAAAGGGAAUUGUUCAUAUGGUAUAGCUGUUGGUGUACACAGCGAUUAUGUAAUAACACAAUGCUUAACCGUCUUAUUCUUCUGCCCCCAGGAACAUUUAAUGGAUCUUUCUAACGAGCGGACUGAUCUGUCAUCAUAUGGACUGGUAAAGAGUUACUUCAUUAACUAUGUGUGCAUAUUCUGAUGGGAUGUGAUUACAUUCUGAUGGCUAAAAGUCACUUCUCCAAGAUCUCUUUUGGUGUAUGAAGUAUCCUUAUAAUGAUGCGUUUGGCUUGAUCUUUUUAUUAUGAGAAGUGUUCAUACAUCUUGGUUCCAUGUGCAACAUCCAAUUCAGCCUCUAUAUAGGCCAUAGAUUCAACUGCUUUUACACAAUGUGUAUGCUCCUAUUAUUUUUAUGCAGACAGAUCUGAAGAUAGAAAGACGAGACAAUAUACAAUUAUGGUGGGAACAUUUGUAUUGGCUGACGUACAGCUUAUGGAGUCACUGGCACAACCUGUCUACUUUAGCUGACCAAAAACUUAAUUGUGAGGCAAAAAAUACGAUUCUAUGUUCAGGCCCAUACCGACAUAGGAGCCGGGUUAAUUCCAUAUUGAUCUCACCAGGAUCACUUAAUUAUAUUUAUCGUGGCAAUCAAAACUAUUGUAUACACUAUAUAGGACAUUUUUCAUUUUAUCUGGUGCUUGGAUCUUUCUUUCUUUUUCUAGAAGUUGAAGUAGCCAUGACGUCAUCAGAUCUCUAUACGUAUACGUCUAUACCUUGUGGUGAGAACACACAAAGGUCUUCGGUACAAAAGGAUUGCCGGUGUAUGUAAGUGUACGUAUGGGGGUGUGCUAACAAAGUAGUGUUCCAUUGAACCCUCCGCACUUGGAAUACGGUGGUUUGUAGCAAAUAAUAACUAGUAUAUCCUUUCAUUAAAUUCUGGUGUUAACACGAUGAUCCUUGUGUUUGCAUGUGUAUUUUCAGAAAGUGGUAUACACAGUGAUUAUGAUAACAAAAUGCUUAACUGUUUCUGCUAGCUGCCCCCAUACAGGAAAUGAAUCUUCCUAACGAGCGGACUGAUGGACUGGUAAAGAGUUAACAACGUACUGGACAUGGACUCUUUGGCUCGUAAGUCAACCCACACAGUGACAAUGAACAAGACCGCCUCCAACACAAGUCACAAGAGUAAGGCCACGAUCUCAGCAAUGAUUAAUAGAACAAAGUUGGUGACCUAGCGUUAUUUUAAAGACAAUUCAGCCUGGGGACGAGGAUAGCUCAGUCUAUGAAAUUUUAUGACCCAUUUUGGCUUUAUCUUUUGAAUAUUUUCGUAAUUAAGAAGAUCGUAAUUAAGAUCAUAACAUUUUUGGGUUCUAUAAUAAUUAAUGCAUGCAUAUCCUGUUAUAAGCCAUGGAUUCAAAUGUUUUUACAACAUGUAUAAU